rnacentral:rRNA from 1 species
AACGAACGCCGGCGGCGUGUUUAAGACAUGCAAGUCGCACGGUGUCCUUUUGGUAGCAAUACUUGAAUGGCAUAGUGGCGCACGGGUGAGUAACACGUGAAUUACAUGCCCUGUAGAGGGGGCUAGCCCAGGGAAACUUGGAUUAAUACCCCAUGGUCUCGCAAGAGCAAAGGUGGCAGCAAGGCUGUCGCUACAGGAUUGGUUCGCGCCCUAUCAGCGAGUUGGCGGGGUAACGGCCCACCAAGGCUACGACGGGGACCUGGUCUGACGAGGACGAUCAGGCACAAUGGAACUGAGACGCGGUCCAGACACCUACGGGUGGCAGCAGUCGAGAAUAAUUCACAAUGGGGGCAACCCUGAUGGUGCAACGCCGCGUGGAGGAUGACGGUCUUCGGAUUGUAAACUCCUGUCAUCCGGGAGUAAGACCUGGGCAUGAAUAGUGCACAGGGUUGAUAGUACCGGAAGAGGAAGGGACGGCUAACUUCGUGCCAGCCGCCGCAGUAACAC